rnacentral:ncRNA from 1 species
CAAAGGUUUGGUCCUGGCUUUACUAUCAAUUUUAACCUAACUUACACAUGCAAGUAUCCGCGCCCCCGUGAAAAUGCCCUAUGUUCCCCCGGGAACGAGGAGCUGGUAUCAGGCACCCUGCCGGAGCCCACGACACCUUGCUAACGCCACACCCCCAAGGGGCCCCAGCAGUGAUAAACAUUAAGCAAUGAGUGAAAGCUUGACUUAGUUAGGGUUAAGAGGGCCGGUAAAACUCGUGCCAGCCACCGCGGUUAUACGAGAGACCCAAGUUGAUAUGCACCGGCGUAAAGGGUGGUUAUGAUUUUUUUCCCAAAUAAAGUUUAAUUCCCUCAGAGCUGUCAUACGCACCCGAAGGUGAGAAACUCAACUACGAAAGUGACUUUACAAAAUCUGACCCCACGAAAGCUGGGACACAAACUGGGAUUAGAUACCCCACUAUGCCCAGCCGUCGCCACGAUAAUGAACUACCCACAUUAUCCGCCCGGGAACUACAAGCGCAAGCUUGAAACCCAAAGGACUUGGCGGUGCUUUAGAUCCACCUAGAGGAGCCUGUUCUAGAACCGAUAACCCCCGUUCAACCUCACCCUUCCUUGUCCCCACCGCCUAUAUACCACCGUCGUCAGCUUACCCUGUGAAGGCCUAACAGUAAGCAAAAUUGGCAAACCCCUAAACGUCAGGUCGAGGUGUAGCGAAUGGAGGGGGAAGAAAUGGGCUACAUUCCCUAACGAAGUGUAUACGAACAACACACUGAAACGUGUGUUCGAAGGAGGAUUUAGCAGUAAGCACAAAGUAGAGCGUUGUGCUGAAACCGGCCCUGAAGCGCGCACACACCGCCCGUCACUCUCCCCGAAAAAACCCACUAACUAACUAAAACACCACUAAAAACAAAGGGGAGGCAAGUCGUAACAUGGUAAGUGUACCGGAAGGUGCACUUGGUCAAU